rnacentral:rRNA from 1 species
CUACGGAACUCCUACGGGAGGCAGCAGUAGGGAAUCUUCCGCAAUGGACGAAAGUCUGACGGAGCAACGCCGCGUGAGUGAUGAAGGUUUUCGGAUCGUAAAACUCUGUUAUUAGGGAAGAACAAAUGUGUAAGUAACUGUGCACAUCUUGACGGUACCUAAUCAGAAAGCCACGGCUAACUACGUGCCAGCAGCCGCGGUAAUACGUAGGUGGCAAGCGUUAUCCGGAAUUAUUGGGCGUAAAGCGCGCGUAGGCGGUUUCUUAAGUCUGAUGUGAAAGCCCACGGCUCAACCGUGGAGGGUCAUUGGAAACUGGGAAACUUGAGUACAGAAGAGGAAAGUGGAAUUCCAUGUGUAGCGGUGAAAUGCGCAGAGAUAUGGAGGAACACCAGUGGCGAAGGCGACUUUCUGGUCUGUAACUGACGCUGAUGUGCGAAAGCGUGGGGAUCAAACAGGAUUAGAAACCCCGGUAGUCCUCUUCGA